UUUCUCCUCUUCUCAUCUCUCUCCUCCCUCAUACUCUCCCCAACCCGCCACCGUAUCCCCAACUUCUCCGCUGCCUCCCCACCUCCUUCUCCGCCAGAUCCAUGGAGGCGGAACCCCAUGCAACGCAGGCGUAGGAGCCUCCUCCUCCGCGCAUCGCCGUUGUCGUGGAUUAAUGGAGGGGCAAAUCCAUGGAGCCUACUCCAAGUCGCUGCCAGAUCCAGUCGUUGGUAGGGCUACGACGGCGGGAUCCGGGUGUAAGGUUGGUGGGAUCUGUCUUGGGCUGCAUGGGCAUGUCCACGAUGUAUGGCGAGUGCAAGCUCAAGGCUGACAUGGUCGUGCUCCUCUGCCACGCCGUCUCUGCGUGUGUCACCUUCAUCGACACCUCUGACGUCUAUGGCCCGCACACAAACAAGCUCCUCCUCGGCAAGGCUGUGCAAGGCAGGGUGCGGGAGAACGAGUAGCAGCCGGGCUAAGCCACUGCUGCCACCAUGGUUGUUUUGGAUGUGUCUGUGCAGGUAUCUCGCGUGACUAUAUGCAGAGGCGCUAGGCCACCGCUGGGAAGCAGAAGGCGUGGAGGAAGAAGUGAAAGUAAUGGUGAUUUCUCUCCCUCUCUUUUUCCAUUUGGAUUCAUAUGGGUGUGCUGCUGUGUAGUUGUAGGUUAAGCGAGUGCUUGAUUAGAUCAGUGGUCGGUGGAUUUCAGUUUUGCAUUUCGAUCUCUCAGUGGAAUCGUUGAGUUGUUGCAGCUGUCGUAAUUGAUCUGAGAUUCUAAUUUAUAACUAGGAUGGUUUGUUGAGAACCACUAGGUCACCUCCUAUGGUUUUCCAUUUGACGCUUUAGAUGACCCCGAUUAAAGCUUAUAUAAUUUGGGUUGUUCCCUAUUUAAUAAAUCUGUUGUGAACAUUGAAUCAUGAAGAAGAAGGCCCCUGCUGCUAAGAAGGAUGCUACUGAGGAUAAGAGGGAGAUGCUGCAGCUGAGGAAACAAAGAAGAGCAAACAAGUUGGCAUUGCUUCCCGCCCUAGGCAAUGUGGCCGUGCCGAUGGGUACAUCCUUGAGGGUAAAGAGGUUGAGUUCUACAUGAAGAAGCUCCAAAGGAAGAAGGGCAAGGGCACUGCAGCUUGAGCAUUCUAACUGGUGUUCUAUGCUUGAAGGAUGGACUAUUUAUUUUUUUACUCUGGGUUUCAUUAGUUGUCUCAAGUGCGUCUAUAUCAUGUUUGCAAACCUACUGAACACCUAUUUUCUAAAAAUGAAUCAACUCUAGCUUCAAAGAACUAAGAAUUUUCACCUGCUAUGGUUUCAUUAUCGUGAUAUUUAGGUUCCUUGUGUACUUAUGCUGGAUCGUGCUCUAAAAUGCGAUGUUGAUUCCUGUUCGAUGCGAGUCAUUUUCUUUUUU